rnacentral:ncRNA from 2 species
UAUGCUAUAAUAAUUGAGUUGCCGUGCAACCCUUGGUGCUUAAGUUCCUUUCACCAAGCAUAUUAUACGCGAGAUAAAGAAGUAUCUUUAUUUUACGCCAAAGGAGAAUCUUAUG